UUUCAAAACAAUUUUGGAAUUUCAAAAACAUUUUUCUUGAAAUCUGUUUUUAAAUAAUUUUAUUAACCUUUAGGAUAUUAAAAGUAAGAGAGGAAGCAAUGAAAAGUUUUAAAAAAAUAUCUCUUGGCAUAUCAAGGACAUAACUUUACGAUACAAGGAUGGAAGCACAAACAACUUAUGUACGGAGUAAAUGAAUCACCAAAGAAUGAGAUGUACAAUAGCGUUGAACGCAGCUAAACUAAAAUCCACAACCAAUUCAUACCAUUUACCAUACAUGAAAUUGUGAAAUUUGCGCAUGCUCACCUGAAUCGCGUAUGUGUAGACGCGCCAAACCGGAGAGCAAUUCCAAGGCGGCCAAUGAAACAUUCAAAUCGGUUUUCCAUGACGAAAUCAAGCGAUGACAGACCAAAUACGUGGCGCGUACGAACAAGGCGUGCGCAUUAUCUGUGGGGGAAUAAAACAAGAUUAAUGAAGAA